GACACAGCCAGUGCUGGAACCCAAGCAGUGUGGUGGCAGGACCCUACACCUCCGUGCUCAGGUCUCCGGAGGCCUGAAGGCAAAGGAGACAGACAGGCAGACCCAGCCCCCAUACUAGGGCUACCACAGAGCCAUCCCACUGAAUGGACUCCACAGAGUCUGUUCAAAUAGGAAAGUCAAAACUUUCAAAGUUUUCAAGUCAAAGUCAAAACUCAGCAAACAUCCAAAGAGCACAAGCCUGCAAUGACACAACAGAAACCAUGAAGAGCGACCGAUUUAAAUCUCCACAAACUUUCUAAACUGGAAGUGGUAGCUAUAGGAUAUAAAAUUAACCUGUCUCGAGGGUUUAAGAUAUAUUUAAAGGAAAGAAAACUGACCAGGCUUCGCUGUGAAAAACAGGAGAGCCUCUGAAAAUGAAAAACUCACCACAGAAAUUAAAAGGUCAUCAGAAACGUUGAAAUAUGUUUGCCAAAUACACAUAAAAGUCGUUUCAAAACACGUGGCAUGGUUUCACUUCUGUGAGACGUCCAGAAUGGAAAAGCCGAAAAAGAGGAAACGGAGAUUCAUGGGUGCCUCGGCCUGGGAGCAAGAAGGAGUGCGGAGUUUCUGCCAAGGUCAAGGGGUUUCCUUAAAAUCCACGCCUUAUGCAGCAUCCAAAGCCGUGGACUGCCGAAGACGAAAGAAGAUGCUUCAGUAGCCGGCCAGAAAGGGACCUGAGCUCCGCAGAUACAGUUGCUCGCGCCGAGGCGGGGACUGAGGACCCAGGAAACGUGCUCAGACGAAGAGGAACGGUCAGCUAAGAACUUCACGCACAGUUUCCCCAAAAUCAGUGCAAAAUAAAAUUUUCAGAUCAUUAAAA